rnacentral:rRNA from 1 species
UACGAGGGGGGCGAGCGUUGUUCGGAAUUAUUGGGCGUAAAGGGUGCGUAGGCGGUUCCGCAAGUCCUGUGUGAAAUCUUCGGGCUCAACUCGAAGUCUGCACGGGAAACUGCGGGGCUUGAGUGUGGGAGAGGUGAGUGGAAUUCCCGGUGUAGCGGUGAAAUGCGUAGAUAUCAGGAAGAACACCCGUGGCUAAGGCGGCUCUCUAGUACGUGACUGACGCUGAGACGCGAAAAGCGUGGGGAGCGAACAGG